rnacentral:rRNA from 1 species
CCUACGGGUGACAGCAGUGAGGAAUAUUGGUCAAUGGACGCAAGUCUGAACCAGCCAUGCCGCGUGCAGGAAGACGGCUCUAUGAGUUGUAAACUGCUUUUGUACGAGGGUAAACGCAGAUACGCGUAUCUGUCUGAAAGUAUCGGACGAAUAAGGAUCGGCUAACUCCGUGCCAGCAGCCGCGGUAAUACGGAGGAUUCAAGCGUUAUCCGGAUUUAUUGGGUUUAAAGGGUGCGUAGGCGGUCGGAUAAGUUAGAGGUGAAAUCCCGAGGCUCAACUUCGGAAUUGCCUCUGAUACUGUUCGGCUAGAGAGUAGUUGCGGUAGGCGGAAUGUAUGGUGUAGCGGUGAAAUGCUUAGAGAUCAUACAGAACACCGAUUGCGAAGGCAGCUUACCAGGCUACUUCUGACGUUGAGGCACGAAAGCGUGGGGAGCGAACAGGAUUAGAUACCCCUGUAGUC